rnacentral:rRNA from 2 species
CUUGUACACACCGCCCGUCACACCAUGGGAGUGGGUUGCAAAAGAAGUAGGUAGCUUAACCUUCGGGAGGGCGCUUACCACUUUGUGAUUCAUGACUGGGGUGAAGUCGUAACAAGGUAACCGUAGGGGAACCUGCGGUUGGAUCACCUCCUUACCUUAAAGAA